rnacentral:misc_RNA from 1 species
AAGUCGUAACAAGGUUUCCGUAGGUGAACCUGCGGAAGGAUCAUUAACACGUAUCCAAACGUUAAAACCCCCCUGUGAACCUUCAACACCAAUGCUCUCUGAACGCCUGAAUUUUGGCUAUCCCUAGUAAAUCAUUGUUGGAAAGAUUUUUGAGUUAGGGACUUCCGUCUGGGGUUCGGAUUGAGCGGAUUUGCAUUAGAAGCAUCUUGGUGCCCCCAAGCAACCACUGAUCUGAAAGUGUUCGGUGAAUUGUGUAAGGGCGGCGCUGUCAGCGCUCGCUGUAGGCCCACACGGCCGGCGACCGGGGUCCGGCCCAGUUUACCACCAUAACAUGACGCCCCGCGCGCGCCGAAAGGUUGUACGCACCCCUAAAACGAACAACUGUUAACAAUGGAUAUCUUGGUUCUC